AGUGAUUGAAAUCUUCUUGAGGAUAGAAAGGAUGGAUUUUGUGUACAAAUAAUCCGGAUUUUUGGGGCAGAUUUAUCUCCACGUGGGGCAGCUGCUGCUCAAAACUCGGCCUGGAUGUCCUCUUGAACCCCGAUCCUGGAGAGACAAUUUAUUGACACUUUGUCCUUGAAGUGGGAAGGAUAUAGUUCAUCGAUAGCCCCGAGGUUAUCUGCUCUGCUCUGAACCACACAGCUCCACAUUACAGCCCGAUAAGCUCCGGACGUUUCCAGAGCACCAAUAGUUCAUAGUGAGCUUACAGAGACAAAAAUGGCGGGCAGAAUUGGCGGUAUCCAGCCGUACAGUUCAUGAGCAAGAUGCAAGCUCGGACGGGGAUAAUGGAGAUGUACACAAUCUAAUCGUCUACAAGUGAAUUAUCAGAAUGUGGCGAAGUCGGGAUCUUGUGGCCCACCCUAUCUAUCCUGAUUCAUUACAAUUUAAAUAAAGAAAUACUCCAAAAUGCAA